UGGCCGCGGUAUUUUGACCGUGCGAAGGUAGCAUAAUAAAUAGUCUAUUAAAUGUGGUCUGGAAUGAAUGGUUUGACGGGGAAUAACUUUUUUGGCUUUAUAGAUGAAUUUUAAUUAUUAGUGAAAAUGCUAAUGUAAUUUAGGGGGACGAGAAGACCCUAUAGAGCUUUAUAUAAAAUGAAGAUUUAGUGGUAAUAAUUCUUUAUAUAUAUUUUGUUGGGGCGACAAUAAAUAAAAACAUUUAUAGAAUUGGCUUUUAUAAAAGAUUAUAUGAUCCAUUAUUAAUGAUUAUUAGACUAAGUUACCUUAGGGAUAACAGCGUAAUUUUAUUUUAGAGUUCUUAUCGAUAAUAAAGUUUGCGACCUCGAUGUUGGAUUAAGAGCCUUUUAGGGUGUAGCAGCUUUAAAAAGUAGUCUGUUCGACUAUUAAAAUCUUACA
rnacentral:rRNA from 1 species